rnacentral:lncRNA from 1 species
ACUUAAAGUACUUCAGUAGGAGACUUGUUAACUGUUAUAAGAGAUCAAAUUUGCAGCUCUUGACCAUUUAUAUGUCUGUUUACUCUCCUUACAAUUAUCUCCAUCUCGCCAACAAACUAGCCUCUCCUUCAUCUGAAAAAAAAACAAAUUCAUAACAAUCGUUAUUAUUUAGAUAGAAAGACAAAGUUUUGACCAAAAAAAAGAAAGAUAGAAAGACAAAGUACGAUUAUAAUAUGGUUUAUCAUCCAAGUUAACAAACAAAAAUAUAUAGCUCCAGAAAAUGACGUAAUAAAUGUGGGCUUCAUAUUUAUUGUUCAAACCUCCGGAAAAUAUUUCAUCAACCAAAACUGGAUAAAUAGUGCACUGACUAGCUUUCUUUUGCAUAUCUUCAGUUCUACCAAAUCGGGAAAUAUGAGAUGACGAUGAAGAAUUCUCAAAAAUCUAUUAAAAGAUUGGUAGAUUUAUGAGUCUGUAUAUGCACCAAAUGUUUUACAGAUUCGACAUUAAAUGCAAUCGAAUGGGUCAGACCCUUGUUGUUGUUGGUUAAGUUUGGGUCUGAGAAACUAUUUCUAUGCAUACGCAUGUUGUGUAUCGAUUACAAUAUCUAAACCAAAUUAUUACAUCAUGUCCUAACCUUUUUUUUUUGAACACGCAUGUCCUAACCUAAACCUACAUUUUAAGCCUAUCAUAUCUUUUUUUUUAGUAAAAUGUUAAAAUAUUAUACCAAUUUUCAAGUUUUUGACAGAUAUUACAAAGGAAACUAGUAGCACAGAUGCAUAAUUGAAACUAAACACAACAAGGUAAUUUACAACAAUACUAACACUCUAAGCAAGGACCCGUAGUUGAAAGAAAGAAGUCAGUAGCCAACGAAGCGGGUUCGAACCAGGGAGAAGGAAAGGACCUGACAGACAAAACGGUUGCCACGAGCACCGAGAGAAAGGUGGCUCAAACCUUGAUUGCAGCGGUUACCUACAGCUUCCGAGAAACCGACGAACACAAACCACUCCAAGAAAUACAAACACUGACUUACAAACCAACUCAAAGUCGACAUACUCCGGCGGCACGAGGUAGCAGGACCACCCGACGAUGCCGUCGUGCGGUUAAAGACUCGGAGAUUGCCGCCUCCUAGCCUUGUCACCGGGACCGUAUACACCCAUUGAACCGAGAGCCCAUAUAGAGCAAGCGGACCGGAUAGCACCACCACCUCCGGAGCAACCUCAAGCGAGAGAGAGAGAAGACUGAUUGCCUAACUGGAAACGAGCUUCCUUCACACCAACCACAUCGCCUCACCCGCGGAGAGAAGAUCGCUGGAAAAAAACCAAAGGAGACAGUAGGCGGCGGAGAACGCCACCUCGUCGGAACCCACAACUCUGAGGCGAGCGACCACCAGCACACAUCCCGACAGACGUGACUACAAGCAACUCACUGUCACGCGCUGCCACCGGAACCACCGCAGAAAGGGUAAAACCCAUCCGUUGACGACUCCACGCGCUACCACCGAAGAUCACCGGUGGAACAUAGCCUAGGAAAGUGACCCGUGUUGGUUACAACCCGGAUCUGAGACUUAGAAAGCCUCCCGACGCUUCACGCACCACCUACUCGAGAAAACUCGCUGAGAUCCGCAAAAUCACCGAACAGAGACACCAUAGUAAACUGGAGAAAAAUCACGGCAAGAGGCAGAAACCGUCCUCUAGUAACACCAUCAAGCCGCAAGAACCCUAGAUCUACGCCGGUGCCGCCAGAUCUGAAACGGAAAAGGACCCAACGAGUUUCACCUCCGCCGCACAGAAAGAAAGGUACGAAGAGACACAAGGGAUACAGAAGGGAAAAGCUUGUAAAGGAGAGAGGGGCUCCGGCGACCGCAAAAGGACUGCGGAGGCGGCCGCCGGAGCAGAGUACACCUAGGGUUUCCGGAUUAAGUUUAGAGAGAAGGAGGAGUAAUUAAUUUUUUUUUAGCCUAUCAUAUCUAAUAAACGAUCCCGAAGAAUAAUGGUGUAAUCUCUACUCCGCCUUUUUUUAACGUAUU